rnacentral:rRNA from 1 species
ACGGCCUCAGAUCAGGCGAGAUUACCCGCUGAACUUAAGCAUAUCAAUAAGCGGAGGA